rnacentral:misc_RNA from 1 species
GUGAGUCAUCGAAUCUUUGAACGCACAUUGCGCCCCUUGGUAUUCCGGGGGGCACACCUGUUCGAGCGCCAUUUCGACCCUCAAGCAUAGCUUGUUGUUGGGCACGGUCCUAGGGGACCCGCCCGUAACUCGUAGGCGGCCACCGCCCGCGCCCCUAGCGUAGCAAGCUCACGCGUUCGCUCGGGGACGGCGCGGCUGGUAGCCCAAAACAAAUUUUCAAGGUUUGGCCUCGGAUCAGGUGGGGAUACCCGCUGAACUUAAGCAUAUCAAUAAGCGGAGGA